UCCUCAUUGGUCCAGUGGUUAGGAUUUCUUGCUCUCACUGAGACGGCCAGGGUUUGAUUCCCUGAUGGGGAA
rnacentral:tRNA from 1 species